rnacentral:rRNA from 1 species
UACAGAGGUGGCAAGCGUUGUUCGGAAUUACUGGGCGUAAAGCGUGCGCAGGCGGCGCCGCAAGUCGAGUGUGAAAUCCCCGAGCUUAACUUGGGAAUUGCGCUCGAAACUACGAUGCUGGAGUGUGGCAGAGGGAGGUGGAAUUCCACGUGUAGCGGUGAAAUGCAUAGAGAUGUGGAGGAACACCGAUGGCGAAGGCAGCCUCCUGGGCCAACACUGACGCUGAGGCGCGAAAGCUAGGGGAGCAAACGGG